rnacentral:rRNA from 1 species
GGCCAAGUUUUUAAGGGCGCACGGUGGAUGCCUUGGCACCAGGAACCGAUGAAGGACGUGGGAGGCCGCGAUAGGCCCCGGGGAGCUGUCAACCGAGCUUUGAUCCGGGGGUGUCCGAAUGGGGAAACCCGGCAGUCGUCAUGGGCUGUCACCCGCUGCUGAACACAUAGGCAGUGUGGAGGGAACGCGGGGAAGUGAAACAUCUCAGUACCCGCAGGAAGAGAAAACAACCGUGAUUCCGGGAGUAGUGGCGAGCGAAACUGGAUGAGGCCAAACCGUAUGUGUGUGAUACCCGGCAGGGGUUGCGCAUGCGGGGUUGUGGGAUCUCUUUUUCACAGUCUGCCGGCUGUGAGACGAGUCAGAAACCGUAUGGAUAGGCGAAGGACAUGCGAAAGGUCCGGCGUAGAGGGUAAGACCCCCGUAGCUGAAAUUCAUGCGGCUCGUUUAAGAGACACCCAAGUAGCACGGGGCCCGAGAAAUCCCGUGUGAAUCUGGCGGGACCACCCGCUAAGCCUAAAUAUUCCCUGGUGACCGAUAGCGGAUAGUACCGUGAGGGAAUGGUGAAAAGUACCGCGGGAGCGGAGUGAAAUAGUACCUGAAACCGUGUGCCUACAAGCCGUGGGAGCGUCGCGCAUCGAGCUUGCUCGGUGCGUCGUGACNCAGCAGUCUGCCGGCUGUUGGACGAGUCAGAAACCGUUGAUGUAGGCGAAGGACAUGCGAAAGGUCCGGCGUAGAGGGUAAGACCCCCGUAGCUGAAAUUCAUGCGGCUCGUUUAAGAGACACCCAAGUAGCACGGGGCCCGAGAAAUCCCGUGUGAAUCUGGCGGGACCACCCGCUAAGCCUAAAUAUUCCCUGGUGACCGAUAGCGGAUAGUACCGUGAGGGAAUGGUGAAAAGUACCGCGGGAGCGGAGUGAAAUAGUACCUGAAACCGUGUGCCUACAAGCCGUGGGAGCGUCGCGCAUCGAGCUUGCUCGGUGCGUCGUGACUGCGUGCCUUUUGAAGAAUGAGCCUGCGAGUUUGCGGUGUGUUGCGAGGUUAACCCGUGUGGGGAAGCCGUAGCGAAAGCGAGUCCGAAUAGGGCGAUUGAGUAGCGCGCCCAAGACCCGAAGCGGAGUGAUCUAGCCAUGGGCAGGUUGAAGCGGAGGUAAGACUUCGUGGAGGACCGAACCCACCAGGGUUGAAAACCUGGGGGAUGACCUGUGGUUAGGGGUGAAAGGCCAAUCAAACUCCGUGAUAGCUGGUUCUCCCCGAAAUGCAUUUAGGUGCAGCGUCGUGUGUUUCUUGCCGGAGGUAGAGCACUGGAUAGGCGAUGGGCCCUACCGGGUUACUGACCUUAGCCAAACUCCGAAUGCCGGUAAGUGAGAGCGCGGCAGUGAGACUGUGGGGGAUAAGCUCCAUGGUCGAGAGGGAAACAGCCCAGAGCAUCGACUAAGGCCCCUAAGCGUACGCUAAGUGGGAAAGGAUGUGGAGUCGCAGAGACAACCAGGAGGUUGGCUUAGAAGCAGCCACCCUUGAAAGAGUGCGUAAUAGCUCACUGGUCAAGUGAUUCCGCGCCGACAAUGUAGCGGGGCUCAAGCGUACCGCCGAAGUCGUGUCAUUGCAGCAUGAGGGCCAACGCCCGCUGUGAUGGGUAGGGGAGCGUCGUGUGCCGGGUGAAGCAGCCGCGGAAGCGAGUUGUGGACGGUUCACGAGUGAGAAUGCAGGCAUGAGUAGCGAUACACACGUGGGAAACGUGUGCGCCGAUUGACUAAGGGUUCCUGGGUCAAGCUGAUCUGCCCAGGGUAAGUCGGGACCUAAGGCGAGGCCGACAGGCGUAGUCGAUGGACAACCGGUUGAUAUUCCGGUACCCGCUUUGAAACGCCCAAUAUCGAAUCAGGCGAUGCUAAGUCCGUGAAGCCGUUCCGGACCCUUCGGGGAAAGGAAAGUGGUGGAGCCGACGAACCAGACUUGUAGUAGGUAAGCGAUGGGGUGACGCAGGAAGGUAGUCCAGCCCGGGCGGUGGUAGUCCCGGGGUAAGGGUGUAGGCCGUGUGAUAGGCAAAUCCGUCACACGUUAAGGCUGAGACCUGAUGCCGAGCCGAUUGUGGUGAAGUGGAUGAUCCUAUGCUGUCGAGAAAAGCCUCUAGCGAGUUUCAUGGCGGCCCGUACCCUAAACCGACUCAGGUGGUCAGGUAGAGAAUACCGAGGCGUUCGGGUGAACUAUGGUUAAGGAACUCGGCAAAAUGCCCCCGUAACUUCGGGAGAAGGGGGGCCAUGUCCGGUGAUGGAAUUUACUUCCUGAGCUGGGUGUGGCCGCAGAGACCAGCGAGAAGCGACUGUUUACUAAAAACACAGGUCCGUGCGAAGCCGUAAGGCGAUGUAUACGGACUGACGCCUGCCCGGUGCUGGAACGUUAAGGGGACCGGUUAGCUCCAUUUCGGUGGGGCGAAGCUGAGAACUUAAGCGCCAGUAAACGGCGGUGGUAACUAUAACCAUCCUAAGGUAGCGAAAUUCCUUGUCGGGUAAGUUCCGACCUGCACGAAUGGCGUAANAGUCUUGCACUCUGAGCUGGGUGUGGCCGCAGAGACCAGCGAGAAGCGACUGUUUACUAAAAACACAGGUCCGUGCGAAGCCGUAAGGCGAUGUAUACGGACUGACGCCUGCCCGGUGCUGGAACGUUAAGGGGACCGGUUAGCUCCAUUUCGGUGGGGCGAAGCUGAGAACUUAAGCGCCAGUAAACGGCGGUGGUAACUAUAACCAUCCUAAGGUAGCGAAANCUAAAAACACAGGUCCGUGCGAAGCCGUAAGGCGAUGUAUACGGACUGACGCCUGCCCGGUGCUGGAACGUUAAGGGGACCGGUUAGCUCCAUUUCGGUGGGGCGAAGCUGAGAACUUAAGCGCCAGUAAACGGCGGUGGUAACUAUAACCAUCCUAAGGUAGCGAAAUUCCUUGUCGGGUAAGUUCCGACCUGCACGAAUGGCGUAACGACUUCUCGACUGUCUCAACCAUAGGCCCGGUGAAAUUGCACUACGAGUAAAGAUGCUCGUUUCGCGCAGCAGGACGGAAAGACCCCGGGACCUUUACUAUAGCUUGAUAUUGGUGUUCGGUUCGGCUUGUGUAGGAUAGGUGGGAGACUGUGAAGCAUGCACGCCAGUGUGUGUGGAGUCGUCGUUGAAAUACCACUCUGGUCGUGCUGGAUGUCUAACCUGGGUCCGUGAUCCGGAUCAGGGACAGUGUCUGGUGGGUAGUUUAACUGGGGCGGUUGCCUCCUAAAGGGUAACGGAGGCGCCCAAAGGUUCCCUCAGCCUGGUUGGCAAUCAGGUGUUGAGUGUAAGUGCACAAGGGAGCUUGACUGUGAGACCGACGGGUCGAGCAGGGACGAAAGUCGGGACUAGUGAUCCGGCGGUGGCUUGUGGAAGCGCCGUCGCUCAACGGAUAAAAGGUACCCCGGGGAUAACAGGCUGAUCUUCCCCAAGAGUCCAUAUCGACGGGAUGGUUUGGCACCUCGAUGUCGGCUCGUCGCAUCCUGGGGCUGGAGUCGGUCCCAAGGGUUGGGCUGUUCGCCCAUUAAAGCGGUACGCGAGCUGGGUUUAGAACGUCGUGAGACAGUUCGGUCCCUAUCCGCUGUGCGCGUAGGAGUCUUGAGAAGGGCUGUCCCUAGUACGAGAGGACCGGGACGGACGAACCUCUGGUGUGCCAGUUGUCCUGCCAAGGGCAUGGCUGGUUGGCUACGUUCGGGAGGGAUAACCGCUGAAAGCAUCUAAGCGGGAAGCCUGCUUCGAGAUGAGGACUCCCACCCACUUGAUGGGGUAAGGCUCCCAGUAGACGACUGGGUUGAUAGGCCAGGUGUGGAAGACCGGUAACGGUUGGAGCUGACUGGUACUAAUAGGCCGAGGGCUUGUCCUC